rnacentral:lncRNA from 1 species
CCCUUAGAUCAUUUUGGAUGGCUCUUUCUCCAGUCUCAAGUAGUUUCUUCACAUACGUAAACUGCUCAGUACUUUAUUGAAUACUUAAGAGGAAGUAGCUGCAGAUUUGUGGGAUUACUUUUCUGUAUGGUUCUCCCCUCUGUGAUACUCAUCUCUUGUAAGCUCUAGCUGCCUCUAUUUCCCAAACUUUCAGCUCUGUCUCAACUCAGGAACUUCUUAGGAAUUCCUAAAUUAGCACUCCCUGAAUCACUAUCUGGAAACUCUCUGAAGUCUAUAAAAUGAAGAGAUUAAAGGGCUUAUAUCAUUUGCUUCCAUCUCUCAGGAAUCACUGCCUUUUUUGCCCCCGCCAAGGUCCUGUGUCUUAACAAUCAUUGUUUUAUAUAUACAUGUUUUAGGUUUUUUUAAAAAAAAUCUGGUGGGAGGGCGAAUCUGGCCUGUUAGUCCAUUUUGGAAGCAGAAGUCUUAAUUUUUUUUUAAAUUCCUACCUUAUCAGGGACCCCAUUUAGUCUCUGCCUGCUCUAAUAGUCAACUCUUUCUUUACCUCCUGAUUUUGAAAGUCUAACUUAACUUUAGUUAAAAAUAGCAUUCACACCAACUACUUAUAGGAUCCAGAAAAAAUAAACAAAUGAACUACAUUUCUUCAUUUUUAUUCUGUACAUUUCCACACAAUUCACAAUACAGAAAAAGUGUCCAAAAAGUAACUGUAACUAGUCAAUUUCUUUUUCAGAGAUUAGUUCAGUCUCCCAAAUUAACUCCAUUGAAAAUCUCUGUAGUGCAACACAGUGAUCAAGAUACUUUAUAUAAAUAGGAAAUGCAAGAAAAUUAGGGAAAAAUACUUUAUGACUUUGUUACAAAAAACUUCAUUCUUCCCUUUCCCAUCCCACCCCCCCCCCCCCACCCACCCUCCCUCCACUUCGUAUUAUCUGAAUCCUCCUUUACCUGGAAAUAAAACUUUAAUCUUUCUACUGCCACAGCUGCUACUUGUUUAUGGAUUCCACCUGCCAGCUGGCAGCUUUGCAAAAGCAUGGCUCUGGGAUGUGAUAGGGCAGAAUCAGAAAUCAUGAAAAAGCCCUUUAUAAUGUGACUGCAACUCUUCAUACAGAUGUAGCCUUUGCGAGUGGAAUACCCACAGCCAAGGGUACCCUGGAUGCCUGGGAACGUUUUCCCACUCAGAAAUCAAAUUAAAUCAAAUAUAUUCAUUCUUUUAGAACUGAGAUUGUCCUCUAUUCCUUAGUUUUUCACAAGAAUGGUUUUCCUCAGUUUCAGUCAGUGGUGGUCUGUAUAAUAUUCAGAUUCAUGGUUGCCCACUUAACUAUUGGUAAUUUUAAAAAACAGCCAAGCUAACCUUUGCUGAGACUAUUUUGGCCCCUGACUUUUCAAAGAUGUGUUUUGCAAAAUAUUCUGUUGUGUUAGAAUAUUUUGUCUAUGAGAGUUCUAAAUCUCCUUCCCCAGGAUGGCAAGAAUCCAAACUUUCCCAACUUAUAAUCGGUAAGUCAGGGAGAGCAUCAAAGUUCUACUUGCAUUGGAAAUUAUGCUUGUAUGUAAUUAGAGUCUCAAUCCAACCAAUGAUGGGUGGGGAGAGUGGCGAAUAAAAAUUCUUUGAUCUCCAGAAGAUCAGGAGAUCAGGAGCCAUUUGGUUGCAUAUAGAAGGUACAACAAAUAUCAAGGCUAGAUGGUAUCUUAAAAGUGAUAAAUCUCACCAACACCUAUAAAUUUGAAAUUACCUAUAAAUUUGAAACAAAAAAUAGGGUAAACUGACAGGACUAUCCUAUCUGUAUGUGUGUGUUUUAUAAGUGAAGAGUAAAGACAAUUUGUAAACAUAUAUCUAUCAUUUUUAAGAGGAAAAUGUAUAUUUAAACCCAAAAUAACAAGGUCACAGUCUCUGAAUUUUUAAGUGAAUAUAUUGAGAUUUGUGGGAAAAAACCCUAAAUAUUCCUUAUUUUUUUCAAACUUUAUCAGGGACCAGAACAAGUUUGUGGACAGGCAUAAUGUAUUAUAAGAGGUUGGACAAACUCCUUCCAAAAACCACCUCGUCCUUUGGAAAGCUCCAUUAAAAAGUUCUUCUAUUAGCUGACCCUACUUCCCCCAAGUUCCACACACAAUCUAAUUCUUCUAUGCUGCAUAAACUGAAAUUUUCACAACUAAUACCCCUUGAAGCCACUUUGAACAAAUUUAAUCUUUCUGUAUGUUUCCUGAGUUUGAUUUUCAAUAUCUGCUAACACUAUCAGUUGUUUGAGAUUACCAUGAGAAUUUGUGUUACUACUAGGGUCUUCUUAUUGUACUACUUUUGAGAAUCUUUUUUCCUUUCCUCACAACUCUGCCCCUCUUUUAUGCCCCCAAACCAGAGGCAAGAAGUAGAACAAGAAAGAAGGUGGAGUAGAAGCAGGUCUUUUCUGCAAGACUCUGGAUAUGGAUUCAUUUCUUAAAAUUACCUCAAGUGACUUCCUCCCUCACCCAGUCAACCUGAAAUCUAGGAACUCAAGCUGUAUUACAGAAUUAAGGGAUGAUGGGCAAUUAAAACUGUAAUCCACCUAGACAGAAAUAUGACAGAAACAUUAGUCUACUGAUAUGGGGUUAAGUCUUGUUUCAUGACACAAAGUUAUAGAAACAUAGGUGUGUUUGUGUAAGCAAGGCAACUUUUUAGGGUCAUGAAAUCCCCGCUGCUAAGUGAUUUGGGAUAUAUUUGCAAUGAUGGAAGCUUUUUUAAAAAAUGCCUUCAUUGCUAUCUAGUUGGCAGGAACCUGGGGGAAAAAAAUAGGCUCAAAUUGAGUUCUGUUCCAGUCUAAAAUUAUAGACAUUUAAACCAAGAAAAUCUCACAGAGUUUUUCUAGUCCAAGAUCUCUCACAAUUAAAGAUAUGCCUUUGAUCUCUGAGUUAGUUGUUCAAUCUUCACUUAACUACUAGAAGAAACAGUGAUAACAACUUCACUGUUUUUCAGAAAGCCCAAACUGUUUUUCUGGAUGCAAUGUUUAGGAAAAAUAAAUCCUUAUAAGUAAUAAAGCUAACUCCUUUUCAUGUGUUACUGCUCUUUUCUUUCCUUAUUUUAUUCUACAAAUCAUCUUCCCUGCAGAAUUUGAAACUAACAGUCCUACUUAACCUAACUCCUCUACAUAUUCUUAUUCCUAAUCCAAUUUUGUCUUCUUUCCAGAUCAAACAUCCUCCUUCUACAUAUUCACCAAUCUGCCCAUAAAUG